UGUGUGUCGUAGUUAACGCGUUAAACAGGGCGCCUGGGAAGUACGGCCGCAAGGCUAAAACCCAAAGGAAUUGACGGGGACCCGCACAAGCAGUGGAGCGCCUGGUUUAAUUCGAUGGUCAGCGAAGAACCUCACCUAGGCUUGAACUGUAGCUGCACGCUCCCAGAAACGGGAGAAUCCUUCGAGGGUGCUACAGAGGUGCUGCAUGGCUGUCGUCAGCUCGUGUCGUGAGAUGUAGGGUUAAGUCGCACAACGAGCGCAACCCCUAUUCAGUGUUAUAAUUACUCUGAAGACUGCCCUGUCCACACGGGGAGGAAGGAGGGGACGACGUCCAGUCAUCAUGUCCCUUAUGUCUAGGGCUACACAGACGCUACAAUGGCCGGUACAAUGGGUUGCCAAACCGCGAGGUGGAGCCAAUCCCAUCAAAGCCGGUCCCAGUUCGGAUUGCAGUCUGCAACUCGACUGCAUGAAGUUGGAAUUGCUAGUAAUCGCGAAUCAGCACGUCGCGGUGAAUACGUUCUCGGGUCUUGUACACACCGCCCGUCAGGGCACGGGAGUCGCUCUUGCUCGAAGUUCC
rnacentral:rRNA from 1 species